rnacentral:rRNA from 1 species
AUACGGAGGGUGCAAGCGUUACUCGGAAUCACUGGGCGUAAAGCGCGCGCAGGCGGCCAUUUAAGUUGGAUGUGAAAGCCUACGGCUCAACCGUAGAACUGCAUCCAAAACUAUUUGGCUAGAGUGUGGGAGAGGAAGAUGGAAUUAGUUGUGUAGGGGUAAAAUCCGUAGAGAUAACUAGGAAUACCAAAAGCGAAGGCAAUCUUCUGGAACACUACUGACGCUGAGGCGCGAAAGCGUGGGGAGCAAACAGGAUUAGAAACCCUAGUAGUCC